UCGGGAUAACACCUGGAAACAGAUGCUAAUACCGGAUAACAACAGAUGAUGCCUAUCAACUGUUUAAAAGAUGGUUCUGCUAUCACUCUUGGAUGGACCUGCGGUGCAUUAGCUAGUUGGUAGGGUAACGGCCUACCAAGGCGAUGAUGCAUAGCCGAGUUGAGAGACUGAUCGGCCACAUUGGGACUGAGACACGGCCCAAACUCCUACGGGAGGCAGCAGUG
rnacentral:rRNA from 1 species